rnacentral:rRNA from 1 species
GGCUCUUCGAUUUUAUAUGAUGAAGAGUCGGACCUGCCCAGUGAAAUAUUUUAACGGCCGCGGUACUCUGACCGUGCAAAGGUAGCAUAAUCAUUUGCCCUAUAAUUGGGGGCUGGUAUGAAUGGUUUGACAAGAGCGAUUCUGUCUCUAUAUAAUUUUAUAAAAUUUAAUUUUCAGCUGAAGAAGCCUGAAUUUAAUUAAAAGACAAGAAGACCCUAUCGAGCUUAAAAAUAAUUAAAAGAUAAUUAAAUAUAUUUAUAAAUUUAUAACUUUUAAAAAUUUUGGUUGGGGCGACCUAGGAACAACUAAAGCUUCUUUAUACAAAAAAAUAUACAUAUUUUGAUCCAGAAGUUUUGAUUAAAGAAAUUAGUUACCGUAGGGAUAACAGCAUAAUCUUUUUUGAGAGCUCCUAUCGAAAAAAAGGCUUGUGACCUCGAUGUUGGACCAAAAUAUCCUAAAGAUGUAGUCGUCUUUGAGGGUUGGUCUGUUCGACCAUUAAAAUUUUACGUGAUCUGAGUUCAGACCG